rnacentral:rRNA from 1 species
CCUACGGGGGGCAGCAGUGGGGAAUAUUGCACAAUGGGGGAAACCCUGAUGCAGCGACGCCGCGUGAAGGAAGAAGUAUCUCGGUAUGUAAACUUCUAUCAGUAGGGAAGAAAAUGCCGGUACCUGACUAAGAAGCCCCGGCUAACUACGUGCCAGCAGCCGCGGUGAUACGUGGGGGGCAAGCGUUAUCCGGAUUUACUGGGUGUAAAGGGGGGGUAGGGGGCUAUGCAAGUCAGAAGUGAGAGCCCGGGGGUCAACUCCGGGACUGCUUUUGAAACUGGCUGGCUAGAUUGCAGGAGAGGCAAGUGGAAUGCGUGGUGUAGCGGUGAAAUGCGUAGAUAUUAGGAAGAACACCGAUGGCGAAGGCAGCUUGCUGGACUGUAAAUGACGCUGAGGCUCGAAAGCGUGGGGAGCGAACAGGAUUAGAUACCCCAGUAGUC